UUUUUUUCUUUUUCAUCGUCUUUUUUUUCCAUCAAAAAAUAAAUAAAUCAAAAGAUCUUCUUAUGCCCAUAAUAUUUAAAUUUCUCCAUGUGUAAAAUCUUUCUACCAAAGAAGAUCUCUUUAUCAUCCACUGGAUAUUGAAAAGACGAUUUGGUUAAUUUGUGUAAAGAUUAGAUUAACACUCAUUAGAUUCAUCAAAUGGUUCUAAUGCGCAGUAGCUGCAGCGUUUUCGACUUAAUACUUCGAAUAUGGUCAAAUCGAAGUAGAUUCUAUGAACCAAAUACCGAUAAAUAGAUAUUUUUUGUAUCCAACUGCACAAAUCAUUUUAAGGUUCAUCGAAACUUUUUCGGAGAUGAAAUACCACCUAAAGCAAGGGAGAAGGGACACAAGUUGGUUUUCUAUGUCGAGGUGAAUAGCAAUAUCUGAUUAUAUACAUUGAGGUUUGGUAAAAAUCUUUUCAUUACGUAUUAAUUCCGGAUGAAUUUAGCACUGCUAGAGUCCAUUGUAGCAAUGUUCACGAAGUAUAAUAUAGGAUAUUGUUAUUAUUAACAUGUUAUUUAGGGAGUUUGCAAGGUCAGAUUCGUUUUCCAGAUAUAUAUAUAUAAGGUCGGGUGAAAGGUUUAUUCGCGUUUCUGUACUGUUGGUCCCACUACAAGCUACUUUUGGACCCUUAAUACCAAUAUUUGAGCUUGGAUGAAGUAUAAAAGUUCAGUAUUUUUUUCCAGGGACCUACUAUAUGUUCAGCUCGUACUAUUCUCAAUAAGUUUUAAGCUCAGUUUUGUAUAACACCACAGAGUUUGGAGAAAAUCUAAAUUAUCAAUUAUGUGAAUGCUUUGACAGAAGGUCUAAGAUGUUGACAGGAACAAGGAGUUUGUAGAAUUGUGAACUAUUGUAACUCAUGCUUUUGCAAAUAAUUUUUUCCGUUUGAUCGUUGGCAUGUUGAUCUCGAUGAAAGAUUUUCCUAACAACAAUCCACUUAUACAGAUAUCGACAAUCAUUCUAAGUAUGGAAUGGGUUAUCUUAAAUAGUUGGUUAGACAUAGGUUAAAUUUGGCCUCAUGUAGUCAUCAAGCAUUAAUGUUCCUUUCAAGGUUAUGUACAAAAUGGUGUGUGUACAUGUAUUCUCUUUGAUUUCUGAAGUAAGUUGGAUGUUAAUCCUGUAUUUUUGUAUGCAUAGCCAAAAUUGAAAAAGCGUGUAUGGAACCGCGACAUGUUGGAUUUUGGGAACAUGAAUACCAGCAUAUGCAUCACAUCUUAUAUUAUU